UUCUCGCCCAGGAUUUUAACGGCCGCGCCCCUUAUUUGACGUACACAGGAAGAGACGAAUGACUGGCGGCAGUUUGAAUCUGAAAGUGCGACUUCAAGAUGUCGACGUUGAUGGCCUUUGACAAGCUUCCGACCCUGAACUCUGCUACCAUUUUGUUGGUGGGAACAAAUGAAAUCUUCCAGAAUCAGUUUGCAGAGACUAUCCUCAAGGAAACACAAGAUUUAAAAAUAAACAUUCGCUUGGCAGACUCUCUCCCUUUACCUCCAGAGACAGAUCACAUCCGCCCUCGGAUUGACCUGAUUGUUUUUAUAGUUAACAUGCAAAGCAAGCACAGUUAUAGUAACAUUGAAAAGUCUCUGUUUCAUGUGGAUGCUAACUUCUUCCUUGGGAAAGUGUGCUUUCUGGCUACUGGCGCUGGUAGACUAAAUCAAAUCAGUGUGGAAGUGAAUGCUGUCUUGAAGCUGGCAGAUCUGUACUGCAGCCCUGUUUUAUUCUGCGAGUUGGAAUGUGAGAAGAUCAGGAUUGCCACAGCUCAGCGACUGCUCCGGAUGCUGCGAAUAUGUGCUGGUCACAUGUCGGGGGUUUCUGCACUCUCCUUCAGUUCCUUAAUGAAAAGCUGCAUUGAUGACUCCAGCUUCCUUGUAUAGAAAUCUGCCCUUUUUUAGUGUUGCUGUCUGGUUUUGGGAAUGAGGUCUAGUUCUGGUUAUGGCGGCAGUGCUGGUGUUGGUCAUCUGGAAACAAAACAGAAGGAUGAGGAAGAGAAAAGCUGAUGAGGAGAGCCCAAAAAAAAUUGAAAACUACAGCAUUUCCUUUGAAAAUCAAGUUAACAAAGGACCAAUCCUGCCCAGAGAAGACAAUUUUGCACCACUAAAAUGCCCUCAGUCAAAUGAUACUUCACAGAGAAUAAUUCUAAAAGAUGCCAUCUCAAAGACUGCAGGAAGUGAUGUCACUGAAGCUGCUUCUCUUUCUUCUUGUGAAGAAAAAGGCAAUCACACCUUUCCACUGCCAGCUACUGAACUUGGGGCAACUGUGCUGGUGACCACCAAGACAACUCAGGAGAACUUCACUAAGGAAGAACUGCUAUAGCAAAAGCCACAAAAGAGCUGAGAGUGAACAGGUAUCCUCAAAGAUGAUGUGAAUUCCUAUGAUCAUAAAAGAAGAAUGAUGGAUGGAGGGUUUGGUUAUUGUGGGCUUUCCGGGCUGUGCAGCCGUGGUCUGGUAGAUCUUGUUCCUAACAUUUUGCCUGCAUCUGUGGCUGGCAUCUUCAGAGGUGUAUCACAGAGAUCACAGCCACAUAGCCUGGAAAACCAGUUGAAUCUGACCGUGAAAGCCUUCGACAAUACAAUGGAGGGUGUGUUUCAUAGGAACUGCGUCAGUUUAUUUCCUAUUUGGAAGGGAACAGAGCAGAACUAUUGAGUUGUUGUUUAAAGGGUAAAAGAGAGCUAGUUUGAUAACAAAGGAGAUAUUUAUCUUGAAAUACGAAGACUGCACAUUUUCAUUAGGUGUUAUUUAACACAAUCUAAAAGUGUAAAUUGAAGAAACAAGUGGCUCUUUCCUUGUGACAUUCUUGGUGGAAACUUGUGAGCUGCUCCAAAUAUUUUAAAUCAGCCAUUGAAACGGGUGUCUUGGAAACAUGAACUUCUUUCUUACCACUUUUCUGACCAUUAAGAUUGAGUUUGCUAGCAUUAGGAUAGACCACACUGGCCUUUGGCCUUUUUAAAGUUCACGUUCUUGAAGUGUAAUUAAAUUCACUGGUUGUAGAGGAAAGUGUCUUGUUACAUAUGUGACCUAAUGAUUGUUCAUGUAUAAGUCUUUGCUGUAAUUUCUCCUGAUUGGAAACAAAACUGCUGAUUAUAAGAAAUCGAUUAGGCAAGACCGGUUGGGAUUUGAACUGUACAGUACCAUGGACAGAGAUCGGGGCUUUUUGCCAAGCCUUAUUUAGGCAUCAGCCCACAGCUGUUUUAUCAUGUAUUAUAAAGGUGUCCAUUUUAUAGCAGAACGUACCAGGGUGCAGAUGAUGUGACCAGGUACCGGUGGGAGGUGUGUGAAGCUUAUAAAUAGAAAUGCAUAUCCUGUUGCAGUAACCUCUGCCCUCAAAGGAGAAGUUUGCGAGCAGAUAUGCAAAAUAUCUAUGAACAUAAGUAUUGCUGUGCAAGAUCAGUCUGAGGACAUCUAAUCCCACAUUCUUUUUCCAGCAACAGCCAGGACUUGCUCUGCAUGUCUUUUUUGAUGACCGCCUUUACUUUCUCUGAGUCUGACUUCCCAAGGCAUCCCUUUCAAGGGCUACUGGAAACCUAUUGUGACAGCAGCAAUGAGAGAUUGACUGCAAAAGGCAUGACAUCUCGACUAAGGUCUACCCAUGGGUGGUGGCAUGUACUUGCACUGCCUUCCUAAGCAAAAUUACGGCCUUCUAAGUUCAUGGAAGAGGAUGUGACUCAGCUUAGUAUGGCACUGUAAGUAUGGCAGCCCCCCUUUGGUAGGUUUGGAUGUUAGCAUGUGCUGGGUUGAUUGUAAUGCUUUGGGGAUCCCUGAGCUCCAUCCCAAGCAUGUCAACCAACCCCAUAAAAAAUCUCUGUGCUGUUUUCUCAUUAUCUUGCUAACAAGUGUUUCUUAAUCUACUCAUGAAGUGUAUGUAUGUGCAUAUUGCUUGGGGUAAUGGAGGUCAUUGUGGUGACAGCUGUUUUCACUUCUUUAAAAGAGUUUCCAGAAGCUUUUUUUCAGUUCCCCUUCAUGACUGAGACAAAGACCACUUCACCCUCCCCUUUCAAAACAGAGCCAUCAUUAUUUGUUCCAGUGGGCUAAUUGUGAAUCCAUGGCAGCAAACACAAAAUGAAGUUUUCUAGCAACUUAAAGACUAACAGAUAUAUUGUAAGCUUUCCUGGGCUACAGCCUACUUUAUCUGAUUCAACACCUGGCAAAAUGGUCUUUUAGUCUACAAAAGCAUGUGCUUAAGUAAAUCUGUUAGUCUUUAAGGUGCCAGAAGGCUCCUUCAUGUUCUUAUUAUUGUGGAUUUUUUUUCUUCAAAAAUAAGUUUUGGAGCAGAUGAGGAGUUCACCUGGUGGUUUCAGUCAUUUGAUCUACAGUACAGUGAACGUCUGGAAAAUUUCUAUGGUGGAUUAUGAAAAAACACAAUUCAAAGGAAAAAAUAAAAUACAAUUGCACUGAAACAGAAAACAAAACCCUCAGAUCACAAGCACAGUACUGAGCAACUAACCUUCUCUGGAACUUUGAAAAUGGGACUUCAACUGAAUUUCUUUCUUAGGGGGAAAAGUUAUGGAUUCCCUGAGAGGGUGAAAGAAGCAUAAUGAUGAUUUUCACCUUGAAAGCAACACACAGAUUAAGAAAACAGUCUCUUACUCAAAAGUCCCAUCAAAUCUUUCAUGAUGCCAAUAAAAUGCCCAGCUAUGAAAAGUGCAUGUUUUUCUUUCUUGAUUGUGGCUUAUUAAGGAAAAAGCCACAAACCCUCAAGCUCACAAAAGAAUGGAGAACAAGUAAGUGAAGCCACGGUGCUGCAAGAGAUGGUGAGGAUCAUCCCACCACCAGGUGGCGGUCCUCUACUACAUGAAUAACGAAAAGAGCGGGCUGAAAGAUGGCACUAAAUUUUUGAUAGUCCUUCCUAAUUUUUCAAGCUGUGCUUCCGGACAAUUCACAAGCUUCAAUGAUCUGGGUUUGCAAUCAACUGCAUUGACUUCUUAACCUAGGUGUAGGCACCUGUCCCUCAAUACCCCAAAUUGUUAAUUCUGUGAAUAGCGUUCCCAAUAGGAAACUGGUCUGUCUAGUGAAAGUAGUGAAAGCAGCUGGACUGUCUUCUGUAAUACUGAAAGAGCAAGCAAAUCCAGGAUGUGUAACAUGCACACUUUGGAGCAAGAAUGUUAAAUAAACAGGGAAAUUUCUCAUCUGGAAACCUUCUUUCUGUGCCCUCUUUGAACUUGUCACUGUAGGUGGAUGAUCUGGCUGUUGUGGGUUUUCUGGGCUAUGUGGCCAUAUUGUGCCUUGUUGACUGGCGUUUCUACUUGUAGUCUAAUAGUUUGUAGCCUAAUAGUUUUUACUCCUAACAUUUCACACACAUUUGUGGCUGGCAUCUUCAGAGGCAUGUCACGGUAAGAUGUGUUUCCCUUUGUGGAACAGUGUGGAGUGAUUUGUGUGGUUUUGUCCCAACUGAGAGGGGGACAAAACACAUCUUACCAUGACAUGCCUCUGAAGAUGCCAGCCAAAGAUGCAGGCAAAAUGUUUGGAGCAAAAACUGCUAGAUAACAGCCACACAGCCUGGAAAACCCAUAACAGUCAGUUUAUUCUGGCAGUGAAAGCCUUUGGCAAUGUAUUGAUGAAGGAAUGGAAUAUUGAAUACCAUAAAUAUACAUUCAGUACAAUUUUGUUUUCAUUGCAGUACAUUUUCAUGCAUAUUUUGUAGUAUCAUGUCUGUAGGUAAUCAAAAUGAUCAUUAGAAUUUUCCAAAUCUUAAAGUGCCUUCCAGACCCAGAGUCUAAGGAUACGUGCUCCAGAUAGUUCAAUAUAGAUUUAUUAUCCUUUGCUGUGUUGUGUUAUUUUGGUUAAUAAAAGGUAUUAUGUGACUUUUGCUUUUA